rnacentral:rRNA from 1 species
GGCCGCUACCACGCGAGUGGAUGCCAAUCCCUAAACCCUCUCAGUUCGGACUGGAGUCUGCAACCCGACUCCACGAAGCUGGAUUCGCUAGUAAUCGCGCAUCAGCCACGGCGCGGUGAGUACGUUCCCGGGCCUUGUACACACCGCCCGUCAAGCCAUGGGAGCCGGGGGUACCUGAAGUGCGUAACCGCGAGGAUCGCCCUAGGGUAAAACUGGUGACUGGGGCUAAGUCGUAACAAGGUAAC